CAAGUCGCGCUCUUUGCCAGCCAAGGUCAGCGUCCAGCAAGCCUUUUUUUUUCAACCUUUGACCUCGGAUCAGGUAGGGAUACCCGCUGAACUUAAGCAUAUCAAUAAGCGGAGGACAAGAAACCAACCGGGAUUGCCCUAGUAACGGCGAGUGAAGCGGCAACAGCUCAAAUUUGAAAUCUGGCUCUUUUAGAGUCCGAGUUGUAAUUUGCAGAGGGCGCUUUGGCUUUGGCAGCGGUCCAAGUUCCUUGGAACAGGACGUCACAGAGGGUGAGAAUCCCGUACGUGGUCGCUGGCUAUUGCCGUGUAAAGCCCCUUCGACGAGUCGAGUUGUUUGGGAAUGCAGCUCUAAAUGGGAGGUACAUUUCUUCUAAAGCUAAAUAUUGGCCAGAGACCGAUAGCGCACAAGUAGAGUGAUCGAAAGAUGAAAAGCACUUUGGAAAGAGAGUCAAACAGCACGUGAAAUUGUUGAAAGGGAAGCGCUUGCAGCCAGACUUGCUUGCAGUUGCUCAUCCGGGCUUUUGCCCGGUGCACUCUUCUGCAGGCAGGCCAGCAUCAGUUUGGGCGGUAGGAUAAAGGUCUCUGUCACGUACCUCUCUUCGGGGAGGCCUUAUAGGGGAGGCGACAUACUACCAGCCUGGACUGAGGUCCGCG
rnacentral:rRNA from 1 species